UACGUAGGUGGCAAGCGUUGUCCGGAAUUAUUGGGCGUAAAGCGCGCGCAGGUGGUUCCUUAAGUCUGAUGUGAAAGCCCACGGCUCAACCGUGGAGGGUCAUUGGAAACUGGGGAACUUGAGUGCAGAAGAGGAAAGUGGAAUUCCAAGUGUAGCGGUGAAAUGCGUAGAUAUUGGGAAGAACACCAGUGGCGAAGGCGGCUCUCUGGACCGAUACUGACGCUGAGGCGCGAAAGCGUGGGGAGCAAACAGG
rnacentral:rRNA from 1 species